rnacentral:rRNA from 1 species
CAGUAGCCGCGGUAACACGAAGGGGGCUAGCGUUGCUCGGAAUGACUGGGCGUAAAGGGCGCGUAGGCGGAUUGUUUAGUUAGGCGUGAAAUUCCUGGGCUUAACCUGGGGACUGCGCUUAAUACAGGCAGUCUAGAGUGAGGAAGAGGGUUGUGGAAUUCCCAGUGUAGAGGUGAAAUUCGUAGAUAUUGGGAAGAACACCGGUGGCGAAGGCGGCAACCUGGUCCUUGACUGACGCUGAGGCGCGAAAGCGUGGGGAGCAAACAGGAUUAGAUACCCCAGUAGUCCCUGUCUCUUAUAC